UGCAGCACAAUAGUGACCUCACAUGUGGAGGAAUUUUGUCUGAAGGUCAGAAAAGAUAUUUCCUUGCGUCGUUAGCCUGGUAGACCCCUAACUAGCACUGUUUCUAAAGCGGAAAGCCUCCUCUGGGGCCUCCUUACAAAUCCAAGCUGAUCUUGCCUAGCUGGGGCCCAGGAAUGAAGACAGCAAUCUAGAAUCUUCACUGUUCUGAUUCUCUGCUGAGCAGAUGCUGCUGCUCCAGGGCCCCUGCCCUCUGUGCACCCAGUGUGGCCUCAAAUGCCCUUUGCAUCCUGCCUGUGCCAUAUUUGCACACUAAGGUGGUCUGCUGCAGCAGGGCUGGAGGGCUAAGUCUCACUUUCCCCCACCUGCUAUGCUCCUCACCCCCCACCUAUGGCAGGAGUGACUUCCUGCCACAGUGGAGGGGGAACCAGUGACCCCGUGCUAGAUGGCCGCUUUUUUCUUGCAUUAGGCGAAACCAAAACUAUAUGAACAUUCUCCGGUUCCUGGCCCUGGGCGACAAGAAGCUGAGUCCCUUUAACAUCACUCACCGCUUCACGCACCUCUUCUGGUUUGGGGAUCUUAACUACCGUGUGGAUCUGCCUACCUGGGAGGCAGAAACCAUCAUCCAGAAAAUCAAGCAGCAGCAGUACGCAGACCUCCUGUCCCACGACCAGCUGCUCACAGAGAGGAGGGAGCAGAAGGUCUUCCUGCACUUCGAGGAGGAAGAAAUCACGUUUGCCCCAACCUACCGUUUUGAAAGACUGACUCGGGACAAAUAUGCCUACACCAAGCAGAAAGCGACAGGGAUGAAGUACAACUUGCCUUCCUGGUGUGACCGAGUCCUCUGGAAGUCUUAUCCCCUGGUGCACGUGGUGUGUCAGUCUUAUGGCAGUACCAGCGACAUCAUGACGAGUGACCACAGCCCUGUCUUUGCCACAUUUGAGGCAGGGGUCACUUCCCA
rnacentral:sRNA from 1 species